ACGGAAGGCAGCCGUGGGGAAUAUUGCACAAUGGGCGGAAGCCUGAUGCAGCGAUGCCGCGUGGAGGAAGAAGGUUUUCGGAUUGUAAACUCCUUUUAUCAGGGACGAUAAUGACGGUACCUGAAGAAAAAGCUCCGGCUAACUACGUGCCAGCAGCCGCGGUAAUACGUAGGGAGCGAGCGUUGUCCGGAAUUACUGGGUGUAAAGGGUGCGUAGGCGGGGAUGCAAGUCAGAUGUGAAAUGUAUGGGCGCAACCCAUGAACUGCAUUUGAAACUGCAACUCUUGAGUGAGGUAGAGGUAAGCGGAAUUCCUAGUGUAGCGGUGAAAUGCGUAGAUAUUAGGAGGAACAUCGGUGGCGAAGGCGGCUUACUGGGCCUUUACUGACGCUGAGGCACGAAAGCGUGGGGAGCAAACAGGAUUAGAUACCCUGGUA
rnacentral:rRNA from 1 species